GAACGGGUGAGUAACACGUGAGCAACCUACCUUUCAGUGGGGGACAACAUUUGGAAAUGAAUGCUAAUACCGCAUAAGCCCACGGGUCGGCAUCGACCAGAGGGAAAAGGAGCAAUCCGCUUUGAGAUGGCCUCGCGUCCGAUUAGCUAGUUGGUGAGGUAAUGGCCCACCAAGGCAACGAUCGGUAGCCGGACUGAGAGGUUGAACGGCCACAUUGGGACUGAGACACGGCCCAGACUCCUACGGGAGGCAGCAUG
rnacentral:rRNA from 1 species